UACGUAGGGUGCAAGCGUUAAUCGGAAUUACUGGGCGUAAAGCGUGCGCAGGCGGUUGUGCAAGACAGAUGUGAAAUCCCCGGGCUUAACCUGGAAUUGCAUUUGUGACUGCACGGCUAGAGUGUGUCAGAGGGGGUAGAAUUCCACGUGUGAGCAGUGAAAUGCGUAGAUAUGUGGAGGAAUACCGAUGGCGAAGGCAGCCCCCUGGGAUAACACUGAC
rnacentral:rRNA from 1 species